rnacentral:rRNA from 1 species
GUGGGGAAUAUUGGGCAAUGGGGGCAACCCUGACCCAGCGACGCCGCGUGGGUGAAGAAAUCCCUCGGGAUGUAAAGCCCUGUUGUAUGGGAAGAGCUGAAGACGGUACCAUACGAGGAAGCCCCGGCAAACUACGUGUCAGCAGCCGCGGUAAUACGUAGGGGGCAAGCGUUGUCCGGAAUUACUGGGCGUAAAGCGCACGCAGGCUGAAUUAUAAGUCGGUAGUCAAAUACGGAGGCUCAACUUCCGGAUAUCUAUCGAUACUGUAAAUCUAGAGUAUGUGAGAGGGAAGCGGAAUUCCCGGUGUAGCGGUGAAAUGCGUAGAUAUCGGGGGGAACACCAGUGGCGAAGGCGGCUUCCUGGCACAAUACUGACGCUCAUGUGCGAAAGCUAGGGCAGCGAACGGGAUUAGAAACCCCUGUAGUCC